CCUACGGGUGGCAGCAGCAAGGAAUUUUCGUCAAUGGGCGCAAGCCUGAACGAGCAACGCCGCGUGCAGGAUGACGGCUUUCGGGUUGUAAACUGCUUUUUGGGGGGACGAUAAUGACGGUACCCCCGGAAUAAGCCCCGGCUCACUCUGUGCCAGCAGCCGCGGUAAUACAGAGGGGGCAAGCGUUGUCCGGACUUACUGGGUGUAAAGCGCAUGCAGGUGGCUGUGCAAGUGUGCUGUGAAAGCCCCGUGCUUAACACGGGGAGGCCAGUACAGACUGCACGGCUCGAGGACUGCAGAGGGUAGGGGAAUUGCUGGUGUAGUGGUGAAAUGCGUAGAGAUCAGCAGGAACACCAAGGACGAAGGUACCUACCUGGGCAGUAACUGACACUCAAGUGCGACCGCGUGGGGAGCGAACCGGAUUAGAUACCCUUGUAGUC
rnacentral:rRNA from 1 species